UGGGCCCAUAGCUCAGUCGGUAGAGCAGCGGCCUUUUAAGCCGUUGGCCGUGAGUUCGAAUCUCACUGGGCUCAU
rnacentral:tRNA from 1 species